rnacentral:rRNA from 1 species
ACGUCUACAUUAGAUACCCGUGUAGUCCCAGCCGUAAACUAUGCGCGUUAGGUGUAUCGGUGACCACGAGUUACCGAGGUGCCGAAGGGAAACCGUGAAACGUGCCGCCUGGGAAGACGGUCGCAAGGCUGAAACUUAAAGGAAUUGGCGGGGAGCACCACAACAGGUGGAGCCUGCGGUUUAAUUGGACUCAACGCCGGGAAGCUCACCGGAUAGGACAGCAGAAUGAUUGCCGGGCUGAAGACCCUGCAUGACUAGCUG